AAAGAAAUGAAAUUCCAUUGGGUAAGGAAAACGUGUUGGCAAAAUUUGAUAUUUAAUAUCAAUCCUUUAACCAUUGGCUAUUUAUCGGUCAAAAGUGAUAACUGACCCACCCAAAUACAAUCCUUUGAGCAGAACGGUGCUCAUAGAAUCACAGAGUGAAAAUGAAGGUGAAGAGGAAGAACAAAGAAAGAAAGAAGCGGAAGAUAAGUGCUGUAGUUGUUGGAAUGAUCCGACUGAUGACACAUGCGGUGGUUCGUUGAUAUUAUGCUGCUUCCUUCGUCAUUCAGAUAAUAAUAAUGAUGGAUGCUGCUCUUGCGAUGAUUCCGGUGACUGCUGCGAUGCAUGUGAUGGAUGUGAUGGAUGUGACGGAUGUGAUGGAUGUGACUGUGCUUAUUAGAAUUUCUGCUGAUUUUGCUUGACAUCAGGCAUAACACGUUCUUAGUACUAAAUAAGAAUGGUAUGUUGCAUACAAUAAUAAAAAGACAAUUUUUUGUAGUGGAAAAAUGAUCUUUAAUUAAAUCCUGUUUCUUCUUAAAUGC